UUAACGUUUCGGCCGGUGGGCCGGCCUUCGUCAGAAUGACCAUUUGGUCAUUCUGACGAAGGCCGGCCCACCGGCCGAAACGUUAA
rnacentral:pre_miRNA from 1 species